AAAACAAAGCAUUGUGAUGGUCCCUACAGAUGUUGAUGCAAUUUUAUUUAUGCUUAGUUCUCUGCGCUAUGUCAAAGUGAAGAAAUUCAACCAAGAACGGGUAAACGGUGGGAGUAACUAUGAAUUUCUUAAGGUAGCCAAAUGCCUUGUCAUCUAAUUAGUGAUGUGCAUGAAUGGAUUAACGAGAUUCCCACUAUCCCUAUCUACUAUCUAGAGAAACCACAACCAAGGGAACAUGCUUGGAAAAAUAAAUGGGGAAAGAAGAACCUGUUGAGCUUGACUCUAGUCCGACUUUGUGAAAUGACUUGAGAGGUGUAGAAUAAGUGGGAGCCAUUUUCGGCACAAGUGAAAUGCCACUAAUUUUAACGUUAUUUUACUUAUUUUGUGGGAAAGAGAUGGGGAAUUUCCCCUAUUUUUGGCCAUCAGACACAUUUCAGAGGGUCGAUCUAAGUGGAAGACAUUGUCAGGUGGGAAUUUUACUUAUUCCUUUAACAUUUUUUUACUUAUUCUUUGAAUUCUUGUGGAAUAAAUGAAGAUCUUACAAAUGGACGAGAAAUUUUGAAGUGGGUGAUUGGAUUUUGUCCAAAGAUUAAAAUAUGAUUAGGCUUUAUGGAGUGGAAUUCAAACCUUUCAUAUUACCUCUCUUUCUAAC
rfam:Picea glauca, whole genome shotgun sequence.